CCAGGGGCAACGUCAGUUCCGCUGCGCAACGGCGCCGGGGUUGUUGGCUGCGCCGCACAGUUCCGGCCUUGGCGGCUACUGGAGGCGAAUGUCCAGGCGGCACCACGGUUCUUGACGCUUGCGGCGGGGCGCCCCGCGGUAUGAGGUUCUCUGCACUGCACUGUGCUGUCUUGCUGAUGGGAUUCCUCCACCCACCCCAGCACCCAGCCCUGCCCCGAAAGCAAAGUUUUCCUGUCUUGGAGAGUCCUCCAGCAUUGAAGACCUGGAGGAGUGACCGUGCAGUCGAAGAUGCAGGUGGAGAGCCUGGCCUCCAGCCCGACCUUGAGCCUAGACCAUGACCCAGCUGCCUCCAGAAGCCAUGGCCAGCAGGAACAGGGACUGGAGUCCCAGAGUAGCCCUACCCAGGCAGUGGAUGAAGCGCUCUACUCCCAGAAUCCAGGCAGUGCAUGCAUUUUUGAGCUCUCUGCAUCUGACCAAACCUCUGGGGACAGGGAGCUGCAUGGUAUGCCAGGACAGUGGCCUCCCAAUGUGGCCUCCGGCCCCCAGUGACCCCGCCCCAGGGCUUCCCAGGACCCAGGCUGCAGUGGCCUGCUACGUGUCUUCCACGGACAAUGCCCAUGCAGAAGUGUGCCCUCUUACACCUGAGAGUGUGGUCACAAGCUCACUGCUAGCCCCCCACAUCUCUGCAGUCUUGUUCUUCUCAGGGGGCCCAGCCUUCAGGAGGGAGGGGCUGGUCCCAUUCCCAUUCUUUCUCUCCAGCUUCCAAAAGGACCCACGAGUUCUCGUCUCAGUCUGAGCCAGCAUGGACUUCUUCCCCAGUGGGCAGGCCCUGGCACAGCCUCGACAAGAGCUCCCAGCGUGGCCCUCCUGAGCCACAGUGUCCAGUGUAGGGCCCUGGGCUGCUGGUCCCUCCCAGCACCCACCAGAAGCAGGGCUGCCUGAAACCUGUCACCCCUGCCAGGGCUCCCCAGGGUGCACUGAUUCAUGAGAGGCAAACAGAAGAAGCAGGUAGCCCGAGUGCCGUGGCUCCUGUCUGCACUCCCAGCACUGCGGGAGGCCAGUGCAAGAGAUUCAUCUGAGGUCAGGAGUUUGAGAGCAGCCUAGGUAACACAGCAAUACUCCUAAAAAGAAAUUUGCUAGGUGUGGUGUCUUACACCUGUAAUUUUGGCACAGGGCUCUUACACCUGGGGUCUGAGUGCAGGUUUCUGAGGUGGGGUGUCCAAGAGUGGGCCACACUGCCAGGAACCACCCAGGGAAGCUUGCUGCCUCCCUGUUUCCAUAGUGACCGUAAUAAACCAAGUCCAGUUCCCAAAGCGCAGCCCACAUGACAGCCUUCUGCUGGAGAGGGGACAGUUUAGGAAGAUCAGUUCCAGCUCCAGUGUACUAGCUGUGUGUCUCCUGUUUUUUGUUUUUUUUUUUUUUGAGACGGAAUUUCAUUUUUGUUGCCCAGGCUGGAGAGCAAUGGCACUAUCUUGGCUCACCGCAACCUCCACCUCCUGAGUUCAAGUGAUUCUCCUGUCUCAGCCUCCUGAGUGUCUGGGAUUAUAGGUGCCUGCCACCACGCCCAGCUAAUUUUGUAUUUUUAGUAGGGACGGGGUUUCUCCAUGUUGGUCAGCUGGUCUCGAACUCCUGACCUCAGGUGAUCCUCCCGCCUCAGCCUCCCAAGUGCUGGGAUUAUAGGCAUGAGCCACCGCACCCAGACCCCCAGAUUCAAAGACUUUAAAAUGCUUGGGGCUACAUAAAGGGCAGCACUUCUCACGAGGGCUUCAGGAAGGGGCAUUCUUUGGCAUGGAGAUGGAGGUGGCAGUGCCUUUUCACUCUCCCCGUGAGGUCUUGUGCUGUGCUGGGCCUUGGUGUCCAGAGAUGAGCAGAGAGGAGGCAGAGCCUCUGCCAGCCUGGUAUGAGGAAGCAGGGUUGUGGCUGGCCCCCUCCCCUGCUGGCUCUGCCCUCGGGAUUACAGAGGUGGAGCUUAUCCAUGAAUUUGACUGUCAGGAAUGAGCCUCCGGUGCUCUGCAGCCACCCGCAGGGUGCUCUGGUAGGCCCUGGGCUCAGAGUGCAAGGGGGCAUCUCCUCUCGGGUAACCAUGGGCUCAGAUCUGUCAUUAUCCUGGAGAUCAGGGUGGGGGCAGAGGCUGCAUGCAGGAGAUUCUAGCCCUCGAGAGGAGGUGGGGCCAAGUCCCAGGCCUGCAACCCUGGCCACCUGCUGACCAGCAGUGCAGUUGUGAGCAGCAACACACAGCCCACGGGUCCUGCUCAGGCCUCCGUGGCCUGACUUGGGGGUUGAGGGGAGCUCAGGAGAACCCCAAUGACCAGCCAGCAGAGUCCCCCUACCCACACCCAGUGCACACACAGGCAGGGGGCAUCCCAUGAUUCAGGCAUCGUCAUACACGAGGGCAAACUCUGGGUGGUGAGCCUGACCCCAGCUGGCCCUCCACGAAUGGUGACCACACCCAGCCAGUGGGCAGUGCAGCCUUGGGUGUCCAGUGGGGCUACGAGAUGCACAGAGCCGGGUUCUGAGUAUAUCGUGCCAAGGCCAGAUGUCGUGAAGGUGGCCCCUGGCACAACGCCCACCAGGUCCAAGAGAGGGACUGAGACCACCUCAAUGCUGCAGUUCCUGGGGUCAGGCGGAGUCCACGUGGGGAAAGGGGCAGGGGAGACCACGUGGUGCAGAGUGCGGCUUUGCCAGCAGAGGGAGCCCUCGCGGGGCUGGGCCCAGGGCUGUGGGUGGCUGCAGAGGCUGCGGUGGGAAUGUCCCUGCAGAGAGGGCCCAGCCCCCUGUCCUCUGCAUUCCAGCCACUUGCCACAGGCCAAGCCCUAGGAGAAGGGCCCAGGCUCCGUGAAUAGAAGGUGCACAGAGAGACCAAGGAGACCUGGUCCAGGGAGGGGAUAGCUCCAUCUCCUCUCCCCAGACACCCCAACAGAUGGAGACCUUCACCAGCCGUCCUGUCCAUGGCUGGUGUAUUUGUGGAUGAGUAAAGCAUCUUAACGAGA